UACGGAGGGUCCAAGCGUUAUCCGGAAUCAUUGGGUUUAAAGGGUCCGUAGGCGGUUUUGUAAGUCAGUGGUGAAAGCCCAUCGCUCAACGGUGGAACGGCCAUUGAUACUGCAAGACUUGAAUUAUUGGGAAGUAACUAGAAUAUGUAGUGUAGCGGUGAAAUGCUUAGGGAUUACAUGGAAUACCAAUUGCGAAGGCAGGUUACUACCAAUAUAUUGACGCUGAUGGACGAAAGCGUGGGGAGCGAACAGG
rnacentral:rRNA from 1 species